rnacentral:rRNA from 1 species
GCCUAGGAAUCUGCCUAUUAGUGGGGGAUAACGUUCCGAAGGAACGCUAAUACCGCAUACGUCCUACGGGAGAAAGUGGGGGAUCUUCGGACCUCACGCUAAUAGAUGAGCCUAGGUCGGAUUAGCUAGUUGGUGGGGUAACGGCUCACCAAGGCGACGAUCCGUAGCUGGUCUGAGAGGAUGAUCAGCCACACUGGAACUGAGACACGGUCCAGACUCCUACGGGAGGCAGCAGUGGGGAAUAUUGGACAAUGGGCGAAAGCCUGAUCCAGCCAUGCCGCGUGUGUGAAGAAGGUCUUCGGAUUGUAAAGCACUUUAAGUUGGGAGGAAGGGUUGUAAGCUAAUAUCUUGCAGCUUUGACGUUACCAACAGAAUAAGCACCGGCUAACUCUGUGCCAGCAGCCGCGGUAAUACAGAGGGUGCAAGCGUUAAUCGGAAUUACUGGGCGUAAAGCGCGCGUAGGCGGCUUAGUAAGUUGGAUGUGAAAGCCCCGGGCUCAACCUGGGAACUGCAUCCAAAACUGCUUGGCUAGAGUACAGUAGAGGGUGGUGGAAUUUCCUGUGUAGCGGUGAAAUGCGUA